rnacentral:rRNA from 2 species
AGGUGUGAUCAUACCAGCACUAGGAUGUGUGAUCAUAUCAGAACUCCCCAUAUAAGCGUGCUUGGGCGAGUGUAGUACUAGGAUGGGUGACCUCCUGAGAAGUUCUCGUGUUGCACCUC